rnacentral:lncRNA from 10 species
AUAGAAAUGCAUAUUCCAAAUUCUUUUCAUUUCCUUGUAGACAGGAUUGAGCAAGGAUCUUCCAUUUGUUUACACACUUGGUGAGUGAGUAAACCACUCACACGCUUAGAAACAAACCAGUCCACCAUAAUGAAACUGGAAGGAACAUCAGAGAUCCUGCAGUUCAACAGAUGCUUCUGAGAAAUGGAGAAGAAGUGAAUUAAGAGUCAGUUUAAACUCAGUGAAAGGAAACUGAACUGGAAUCAGAAGAAGAUGUUGAAAUUGAGGCUCAGAGAAGUUAAGUAAUUCCAUCAAGAUCACAUGAACCCAAAAUCACAUGGCUGAGCCACAAAGAAUUGUCUCACCCAAGAUUAUACUUGCCCGAAGUUUCAAGCUUCCCGGAGGAGACCAUUUUUGCCAAGAAUUGCCUUAUGCUGACAUAAAAGGUUAUGACCUCCUUGGCUGAAUUUGAGACAACUCUGAAGGGUCGUUCUAGCUCCAGGGGUCCUCAUCAGGUCCGCUGGGGCCUGCAGGCCCACUAUUCCUUCUUUUUAGUCCUGGACAUUUCCUUACACAUAGCCCUCUCUAGAGCACUGUCCCAUAAACUGGUCUUCAUUGCUCUGUGCCAGAAAUAAUUUCAGGGAACCCAAACUAAGAAAUUGGGGUUCUAGCCUAUGGAAGAAGUAGAAGGGUAUGAGAACCAGCAGUCCUUUUUGCCUGCAGCCAUCCCACUUCUCAUGUCAGCUCUGAAGAAAUACUUGUAAAUGUGUCCAAAGAAGCAAUGCAAGGCCAGCCCAGUGGCAUCGUUUGUGAGAGUGAAAACAAUGAGACGCUAAAUGAACCAUAGUGAGGCUGUAUUUUGGGG